UCCCAGGUCCCUCAGAGUGAAAUAGGUUAGUGCCAACCUUCUUUCCUUCACCAAGGGUCCUCUGUUCUGUCAUUGUAUUUCUUGUAUCUCUCUGAGUUGAUCUGUGGUCUCUCGUUCCCCUUUUCUGUCCGUCUUCUUAGGGUUCCUUAGACCCCCCUCUAGAAACUACUCAAAAUGUCCUCCAGUUUCUCUACUCCCAGCAGCUCUGAGAGCUCUUCCGCCUCAAACCCCCAGGUUCCCGUCGCUGUAGACGAACCUGCAUCUGA
rnacentral:lncRNA from 1 species